GACCGCUAUGGCGAGCCCCGCCCACAGUGCGCAGCCACCAGCCAGGCUCUGGGAAACUCUGGGGGACUUGGGCGCUCAGUGGGGGAAACCUGGCUGCCCACGGCAGCGGGAGGGACAGGACAUCUGGGGCGAGCAGGGGUUUAUAUGCUACCUGGAAGCAGUCUGUGAACGUACAUUGGAUGAAGUUAGGGAAUGAAUGAUGGCCUUAGUGGUUCGUGGAGAUGGGGGCACAGUAAGGAGUCGUGGGCUAGGAGAAAGGGAAGCUGUGGGAACCUGCAAGCAGGUUUAAAUCGGAGCCCUACUGGGGCCACCCCCAGGCGUGAAAUCACCUCUCCACUCUGGAUGCUGGAGUUAAGGCUCCCGUUCCUCACCUGGGGUUUGGAAUAUGCCCAGAGUAGGAUUUCAGAGCUGGAAGAGGCCUCAUGUUCUGGAAAAGAUGUGUGUGGUCCAAGCCCUCCUGCCUGAGACAGCAGUCAGAGAGGGAAAGACUGCCCCGGAAUGGAUUUAGGAACCCAGGACUCUUGACAAAGACUGCUAAUUCAGCAGCUGGCAGCUGGGGAGGGGACUGCCUGAUUCCUCUGCGGUUCCACAGUUUCUUCAGGGAGGAUUGGGGAGUCCUGGGUGCCUCCCUGUGGGAUGGUGGCGCCCUCUGCUGGUCGUGAGCCUUGUGGUGGAACUAUCUCCAGACUCAAAGCCGUCUGGUGCUCGGCGCCACCUGGAAACCUUGCCAUAUUUUGGGAUCCCAUACAGCAUUUGUUCCUCCAGGAGGAUCUGUAGUGAGCUGGUCACUGAGUUCACACUGAGGAAGCUGUGAGGAGGGAGAUGCUGCCGGUUAAAUGUACUCCACAGCACGGCUCCAGAGCUCAGCCUUCUCUGCCCCACCUCCUCUCUUAUGCCACGCCCCUUGCCUAGCAUCUGUUCUCCUCCUCCAAUUAGCCUUCCCCAGGCCUCCUGCCUCUCCAGAAUGUCCCUUACCUUACCUCCUCAUGCCUCUUAGCAAAUCCCCUGUGGAUCUGCUCCUGAGAAAUCUAUACUUCGUCUGCAACUUAUGUCGAAGCAGGUGUCUUGUUCCCAGGGAGUUCAUGUUUCCCAGUUCUUUGGCUCCAGCUGCUCCAUCCUAAGAUGGGGUUUAAGGGUGGGGGGAGGGGGGGACCUGGGUAGCAUGGGAUUAGUAGAGGCUGUCUAACGGACAAAGCCCCUUCUCACUUCUUUAAGGACAACCCCUUGCCAAGUCUCCCACCAAUCCACAAUUCCCUGUGAGGAACUGUAGGAGGUGACUCCUGUGACCCCCACAGACCUGCUUAACUUCUGGGGAACCCUCGGGAAGUUGGAGCACUAGAGCUUCGAACUGUAGAGUCCCAGUGAGUCAGUUACUUCAGGGCACAGAACUAGCAAGGAUGAAUAAAUAGCUCUAUGG
rnacentral:lncRNA from 1 species